rnacentral:rRNA from 1 species
GAAUUUUGCGCAAUGGCCGCAAGGCUGACGCAGCAACGCCGCGUGGGUGAAGAAGGCCUUCGGGUCGUAAAGCCCUGUCAGGUGGGAAGAACGACACGGGGAGGAAUAUGCUCUGUGAGUGACGGUACCACCAGAGGAAGCACCGGCUAACUCCGUGCCAGCAGCCGCGGUAAUACGGAGGGUGCGAGCGUUAUUCGGAAUUACUGGGCGUAAAGCGCGUGUAGGCGGCCAACCAAGUCUGAUGUGAAAGCCCUGGGCUUAACCUGGGAAGUGCAUUGGAAACUGGCUGGCUUGAGUACUGGAGAGGAAGGGGGAAUUCCCGGUGUAGAGGUGAAAUUCGUAGAGAUCGGGAGGAAUACCAGUGGCGAAGGCGCCCUUCUGGACGGUUACUGACGCUGAGACGCGAAAG